AAUUGUGGGGAACAUCCGGGGGUAAAUGUUUAGGGCCACAGACUCUAAGGGGCACUGUGUGAAGAUAUGUCAGCUCACGUUGUCUAAAAAUUGUUUGGGAGGACCCCUAGAUACCUGUUACCCUGGAGAGGUAUGUGCCUGUGAACAUUGCCACCUGUCGGUGGACGACCGCAAAGCACCAUUGAAUCUCCACACUCCAACCAAAUCCCAAGCCAGGGUCCAACUCUGGUUUGUAGUAAUCUAUGUUUCCCGGAGGCAAGUCCUGAGCUGCACGCUUUACACGUGUCGUUCACUCAUCGUCUCGGCAUCCUCAGAGGUCAGCAGUGCCCGUUUAGAGAUGAGGAAACAGAGGCAAGCAGGGGUUUCAUCAUUUCUGCAAGGACUCACUGCUCAUUUGGAUGCGAGCCCACACCUUGACUGUGCUGUUCAUACUUACUUGUGUGCUUGGCUAUGUGACUCUGCUGGAAGAAACACCUCAAGACACAGCCUACAACACAAAGAGAGGUAUUGUGGCCAGUAUUUUGGUUUUCUUAUGUUUUGGAGUCACACAAGCUAAAGACGGGCCAUUUUCCAGACCUCAUCCAGGUAACUCACCAUUUCUUUUUCCAUGUA